GACUUUGUGAAAUGACUUGACAGGUGUAGGAUAAGUGGGAGCCGGAGACGACGAAACUAAAAUAUCACUAUUUUUAACGUUAUUUUACUUAUUCCAUGAAUGCCCCUCUUUUAGAUCAAAGGCUCGCUUGCGAGCCAAUAGCCGGAAGACAUUAUC
rnacentral:rRNA from 1 species